UGGGGAAUUUUGUACAAUGGGCGAAAGCCUGAUCCAGCAAUGCCGCGUGUGUGAAGAAGGCCUUCGGGUUGUAAAGCACUUUUGUCCGGAAAGAAAUGGCUCUGGUUAAUACCUGGGGUCGAUGACGGUACCGGAAGAAUAAGGACCGGCUAACUACGUGCCAGCAGCCGCGGUAAUACGUAGGGUCCAAGCGUUAAUCGGAAUUACUGGGCGUAAAGCGUGCGCAGGCGGUUGUGCAAGACCGAUGUGAAAUCCCCGAGCUUAACUUGGGAAUUGCAUUGGUGACUGCACGGCUAGAGUGUGUCAGAGGGGGGUAGAAUUCCACGUGUAGCAGUGAAAUGCGUAGAGAUGUGGAGGAAUACCGAUGGCGAAGGCAGCCCCCUGGGAUAACACUGACGCUCAUGCACGAAAGCGUGGGGAGCAAACAGG
rnacentral:rRNA from 1 species